rnacentral:rRNA from 1 species
GAUGAGCGCUGGCGGCGUGCCUAAUACAUGCAAGUCGAGCGAACGGACGAGAAGCUUGCUUUUCUGAUGUUAGCGGCGGACGGGUGAGUAACACGUGGAUAACCUACCUAUAAGACUGGGAUAACUUCGGGAAACCGGAGCUAAUACCGGAUAAUAUUUUGAACCGCAUGGUUCAAAAGUGAAAGACGGUCUUGCUGUCACUUAUAGAUGGAUCCGCGCUGCAUUAGCUAGUUGGUAAGGUAACGGCUUACCAAGGCAACGAUGCAUAGCCGACCUGAGGGGGUGAUCGGCCACACUGGAACUGAGACACGGUCCAGACUCCUACGGGAGGCAGCAGUAGGGAAUCUUCCGCAAUGGGCGAAAGCCUGACGGAGCAACGCCGCGUGAGUGAUGAAGGUCUUCGGAUCGUAAAACUCUGUUAUUAGGGAAGAACAUAUGUGUAAGUAACUGUGCACAUCUUGACGGUACCUAAUCAGAAAGCCACGGCUAACUACGUG